rnacentral:rRNA from 1 species
AACGAACGCUGGCGGCAUGCCUAACACAUGCAAGUCGAACGAGACCUUCGGGUCUAGUGGCGCACGGGUGCGUAACGCGUGGGAACCUGCCCUUAGGUUCGGAAUAACUCCCCGAAAGGGGUGCUAAUACCGGAUAAUGUCUUCGGACCAAAGAUUUAUCGCCUUUGGAUGGGCCCGCGUUGGAUUAGCUAGUUGGUAGGGUAAAAGCCCACCAAGGCGACGAUCCAUAGCUGGUCUGAGAGGAUGAUCAGCCACACUGGGACUGAGACACGGCCCAGACUCCUACGGGAGGCAGCAGUGGGGAAUAUUGGAAAAUGGGCGAAAGCCUGAUCCAGCAAUGCCGCGUGAGUGAUGAAGGCCUUAGGGUUGUAAAGCUCUUUUACACGGGAUGAUAAUGACAGUACCGGGAGAAUAAGCUCCGGCUAACUCCGUG